AGACAACUUGCUCAUUAAACUAAAAUAAGAUGUGUGUUGGGCACUGAUUCCUCCAACCAUUUCCUGUGGUCUGAUGCCUUCAGAUACGUAAAAUGAUAUCCAAUUCCAUUUUGAGGUCCUUCCAGGUGUAAAUGUCUGUGAUGUCAACAGAUUUCAUUGGGCAAAGAUUGGGUUACGUGAUCUGCCACCUUGAAGUCUUGAAGACGACGAGAUCCCCGAAUUAUACAUAAUGACAUGGUCCCUUUCCAGGCAGCUCACUGGAGGACUGCUAUGAAAGGCUUCUCCUCUGACUUGGACUUUCCCACUCAUGCACUUGGACUUUCCCAGCACCUGCCACACAGCCUUGAUAGUAGAGCAGUGAGAUGCUCAUUGUGAAGGAAUUUUCUUCAGAGAAUGAAAGCAGAAAUAACCAAGUGACAAGGACAAUAAGCAGAUCAGACACUCAGCAGCUGUCCACGAAGACAUGGAACAACAGAUGUCAGGAAACCAGGGAGUAGCUGCGUCGUCCUAUCACACAGCAGAGCCACGACUCAUUUGAGGGAAGUAUUUUGAUGUUUCCCAGAUUUUAAAAUAAAAGUGAUGAGGUAGUCUUUAAAUUCAAACUCGAAACUUUUCAAUGUGUGCUCUACCUACUCAUCCC
rnacentral:lncRNA from 1 species